AACUGAAGUAAAAAAAAAAAAUACAAAAAAGGAGAACUCGAGAAAUCUAAGUAGCGACACAAAAACUAUAUUAAAAUAAAAGAAUAAAAAGACUUACUGUCCAGCGUGUCCCAGUCUGUUUUGUCUGAAAAAAAAAAUAAGACAUUACACGGAAAAAUAAAAGCGCACCGAACCCAAAACAGGGUUCUUUAGGAUGAACGCGAUUCGAUGGAGGAUAGAAGCACUCAACACCCAAAGGGUUUUUCAGGAUGAACGCAUAAGGUGUGGUAGCUUUUCUUACCUUUUGCUUUGUGGGAGGAGACGAUUGUGGCGACACAAAUAAACGCUAUGAAACAGAAACCGAAAUACAUGUUGUGCGAACUAGACCUGCCGUGUGUGGGGAACGACGAGAGCUGGAUAAAAUGACAAAGAUAAAACAAAUGUAGCAACGCUACAUAUAACUUAAAUGACAAUUUACCAUUUAUUAAAAGACCAACUAGCACAUAUGUAAAGGUUUUAAUUACUUCAUGUAUGUAACAACUGCGGUUUCACACGUAUUCCGCGAAUCACAGUGCAAGUUUUUCAUAGUAUUUGUAUAGUUAUUGACUCAAACUAAUAAAACGCUAUCAAGAGA